rnacentral:rRNA from 1 species
AGCAGCCGCGGUAAUUCCAGCUCCAAUAGCGUAUAUUAAAGUUGUUGCAGUUAAAAAGCUCGUAGUUGAAUUUCGGGAUCAAUACGUCGGUCGUGCUUUCGGGUACGUACUGGCGUCAUUGGUUUCUCCUUUCUGACGAACCAUGAUGUCAUUAAUUUGGUGUUAUGGGGAGUUAGGACUGUUACUUUGAAAAAUUAGAGUGUUUAAAGCAGGCAUUAGCUUGAAUACAUUAGCAUGGAAUAAUGAAAUAGGACGUUCGAUCCUAUUUUGUUGGUUUCUAGGAUCAACGUAAUGAUUAAUAGGGAUAGUUGGGGGCAUUAGUAUUCAAUUGUCAGAGGUGAAAUUCUUGGAUUUAUUGAAGACUAACUACU